CUGAAAGCUGCCUCAUAGUCCUCAUUGACCUCACUAUCCAGCGCCAUGCGGAUCUGUUUGGCCGCCUCCACCAGCAGGACACAUCUCUGUGUGUGGUCACUGGGCUCGGUGUGCGUCUGCCCCCAGUGACUCCACAACUCAGGUCUUUGCAGCAGAGCAUGAUCAUCUGAGCCAGUGGAAGCAAAGAGUUAACGCUCAGAGCAGAACAGGAACAUGAAGAAAACCCAACGCUCCACCUGGAGAAGGUGUCAACACGCGCAAAUCCUUCUACGUUAUGAAGAACGCUACAAAAACAUGUGAGCGUGUACGCCACUCUGCUGGUGUCUUCCACCCACACACUGCCACCAUUCACAUGAAAUGGAUCAUUUACAGGGAGCAGCAAAGAAAU